GACGUAGGGCGCGAGCGUUGUCCGGAUUUAUUGGGCGUAAAGAGCUCGUAGGCGGUUUGUCGCGUCGGGAGUGAAAACACGGGGCUCAACCCCGUGCCUGCUUCCGAUACGGGCAGACUAGAGGUAUGCAGGGGAGAACGGAAUUCCUGGUGUAGCGGUGAAAUGCGCAGAUAUCAGGAGGAACACCGGUGGCGAAGGCGGUUCUCUGGGCAUUACCUGACGCUGAGGAGCGAAAGUGUGGGGAGCGAACAGG
rnacentral:rRNA from 1 species